AUACGUGUAGGGUGGAGAUGCACAACCGUCGGACUGUGUAGCAUUAGGCUUUAUCAAGACGCUUCAUCUCGUCCACAGUCGCCGGUUGAUUCCUCCUCCUGACAGACUUUUGCUUAAGCGGUGCCUUAGUCACCACAGCAAGCAGGACGCGUAAGUCGCGACUUCGUUCUUAGUUACCCGGACGAACCUCGCUAGACACUCGAGUGGUCAACCACUCCUGACGCACCUGACACCGACCGUGAGAAGUCGUGUGUGCCGAACGCCGUUUCCGGCAGCCCGGAAACCGA
rnacentral:ncRNA from 2 species